rnacentral:rRNA from 1 species
GACGAACGCUGGCGGCGUGCUUAACACAUGCAAGUCGAACGGAAAGGCCCUGCUUGCAGGGUACUCGAGUGGCGAACGGGUGAGUAACACGUGGGUGAUCUGCCCUGCACUUCGGGAUAAGCCUGGGAAACUGGGUCUAAUACCGGAUAGGAGCCAUUUUUAGUGUGAUGGUUGGAAAGUUUUUUCGGUGUAGGAUGAGCUCGCGGCCUAUCAGCUUGUUGGUGGGGUAAUGGCCUACCAAGGCGGCGACGGGUAGCCGGCCUGAGAGGGUGGACAGCCACAUUGGGACUGAGAUACGGCCCAGACUCCUACGGGAGGCAGCAGUGGGGAAUAUUGCACAAUGGGCGCAAGCCUGAUGCAGCGACGCCGCGUGGGGGAUGACGGCCUUCGGGUUGUAAACUCCUUUCGCUAGGGACGAAGCUUUUUGUGACGGUACCUAGAGAAGAAGCACCGGCUAACUACGUG